GCUUGAGCACGUAGGUGGGUUUGUAAGUCAGGUGUGAAAGCCUUCUGUUCAACGGGGGAAUUGCAUCUGAAACUACGAAUCUUGAGUGUAGGAGGGGAGAAUGGAACUUCUGGUGGAGCGGUGAAAUGCGUAGAUAUCAGAAGGAACGCCGGCGGCGAAAGCGAUUCUCUGGCCUAUUACUGACACUCAGUGUGCGAAAGCUAGGGGAGCAAACGGGAUUAGAUACCCCGGUAGUCCUAGCCGUAAACGAUGGGCACUAAGUAGUGGGAAUUACCGAUGUUCUCUCUGCCGUAGCUAACGCAUUAAGUGCCCCGCCUGGGGAGUACGGCCGCAAGGCUAAAACUCAAAAGAAUUGACGGGGGCUCGCACAAGCGGUGGAGCAUGUGGCUUAAUUCGAUGUAACGCGAAAAACCUUACCGGGGCUUGACAUGUUAGAAGUAGGAACCUGAAAGGGUAACGAACGGUAUCCAGUCCGUAGCUAUCACAGGUGUUGCAUGGCUGUCGUCAGCUCGUGUCGUGAGACGUUGGGUUAAGUCCCCUAACGAGCGAAACCCUUGUUUUUAGUUACCAGCGGGUUAUGCCGGGUACUCUAGAAAGACUGCCGUCGUCAAGACGGAGGAAGGUGGGGAUGACGUCAAGUCAUCAUGGCCCUUAUGCCCCGGGCUGCACACGUGCUACAAUGGUCGGUACAAACGGAAGCGAAGCCGAGAGGUGAAGCGAAUCCAAGC
rnacentral:rRNA from 1 species